UACGUAGGUGGCGAGCGUUGUCCGGAUUUACUGGGCGUAAAGAGCGCGCAGGCGGUCGUACAAGUCGCGUGUGAAAGCCCCUGGCUCAACUGGGGAGGGUCACGCGAUACUGUUCGACUCGAAGGCAGGAGAGGGAAGUGGAAUUCCCGGUGUAGUGGUGAAAUGCGUAGAUAUCGGGAGGAACACCAGUGGCGAAGGCGACUUCCUGGCCUGUUCUUGACGCUGAGGCGCGAAAGCUAGGGGAGCAAACGGG
rnacentral:rRNA from 1 species